UUAUCAGCCUAGAAGAACACAAACAUAUAUGUUGCAGCCUGCCAUCUCCUCCCUGAUUUAAGGAAGUGGACCUCAGCUGUUCUUGCUCCAGAACCAGUGGAUCCAGAAAUGCCCAGAACAGAACAUUUGAGUAAAGCAACUCCUCUGUGUACUGAGAAAGUCAGAAAGAGAUCCCUUCCUCUUCACUGGAAUAAUACAUCCAAGUGCUGAGUUCCUCUCUUCAUUUGACU
rnacentral:lncRNA from 1 species